rnacentral:Y_RNA from 1 species
GGCUGGUUCAAAGGUAGUGUUAUCUCAAUUAAUUGUUCAGUCAGUUGCAGAUCAAACUCUUUGUUCUACUCUUUCCCUACUUCUCAUUACUGCACUUGACUAGUCCAAA